CCUACGGGCGGCAGCAGUGGGAAAUAUUGGACAAUGGGGGCAACCCUGAUCCAGCCAUGCCGCGUGUGUGAAGAAGGCCCUCGGGUUGUAAAGCACUUUCAGUGAGGAAGAACGCCUGGUGGUUAAUACCCAUCAGGAAAGACAUCACUCACAGAAGAAGCACCGGCUAACUCCGUGCCAGCAGCCGCGGUAAUACGGAGGGUGCGAGCGUUAAUCGGAAUUACUGGGCGUAAAGCGCGCGUAGGUGGCUUGAUAAGCCGGUUGUGAAAGCCCCGGGCUCAACCUGGGAACGGCAUCCGGAACUGUCAAGCUAGAGUGCAGGAGAGGAAGGUAGAAUUCCCGGUGUAGCGGUGAAAUGCGUAGAGAUCGGGAGGAAUACCAGUGGCGAAGGCGGCCUUCUGGACUGACACUGACACUGAGGUGCGAAAGCGUGGGUAGCAAACAGGAUUAGAUACCCGUGUAGUC
rnacentral:rRNA from 1 species